AUGACACUUAAGCACAAAGACUUGAUCCAUUCGGGUCGGGUCGCUACACUAUCUCGGAGGUGCUUGCCGAGCUUCGUGCUGAGGAGACCCGCCUUCGCUCUGCGGGGUUGUUGGUGGUUCCAUCUAUGUUGGCUGCUCGGGCUCCUGUGUCGUCUGCUCGGCUCACUGCUCCACCGCUCCUACCUACACCUUCAAGGGGUGGGUCGCCCUCCUUAUGCUGAGAAGGGCCGCUCGUGUUAUGACACCUUUUGUGGCUAUUGCUCUCGGCCAGGUCACCCAGAGCCUGAUUGCCGCGAGAAGAAGAGAGACCAGAGGCGCUCCUCUUCCAGUGGGACUCCUGGAUCUUUCUCGACUCUGCCACUCACUGAUCAGGACAUUGUGCGGCUCAAGCAUCUCUUGGCUUCCCCAGGCUCCUCGCCAACCAGUUUCGCUGCUGUUGUGACUGCAUCCACCCCUCCAUCACCUCCGGCACCUACACUGUUAGGUACAUCUUUGUGGGUUUUGGAUUCUGGACCUUCCUUUCACAUGUCUUCUGAUUCUUCAGCAUUUUCUUCUCUUCGACCUCUUGAUACUCCUAUUAAUGUUCUUAUUGUCGACGGCACAUCUCUUCCUUUUGCUAGUCGUGGUAUUCUUUCCGCUCUGUCUUUUUCAGUUCCUAGUGUUUCUCACGUUCCUUGA
rnacentral:rRNA from 1 species